AACUCCGGUGGCUUAAUGGUUAGAGCGUCAGCCUCGGAUGCGAGAUGUCGUGGGUUCGAUCCCAGGCCGAGUCA